rnacentral:rRNA from 1 species
GACGAACGCUGGCGGCGUGCCUAAUACAUGCAAGUCGAGCGGAUUUCAAGGAGCUUGCUCCUUGAUUUCAGCGGCGGACGGGUGAGUAACACGUGGGCAACCUGCCUAUGAGACUGGGAUAACUUCGGGAAACCGGAGCUAAUACCGGAUAAUCCUUUUCCUCUCAUGGGGGAAAGCUGAAAGACGGCGUAAGCUGUCACUUAUAGAUGGGCCCGCGGCGCAUUAGCUAGUUGGUGAGGUAACGGCUCACCAAGGCGACGAUGCGUAGCCGACCUGAGAGGGUGAUCGGCCACACUGGGACUGAGACACGGCCCAGACUCCUACGGGAGGCAGCAGUAGGGAAUCUUCCGCAAUGGACGAAAGUCUGACGGAGCAACGCCGCGUGAGCGAAGAAGGCCUUCGGGUCGUAAAGCUCUGUUGUUAGGGAAGAACAAGUGUUGGAGUAACUGCCGGCACCUUGACGGUACCUAACCAGAAAGCCACGGCUAACUACGUGCCAGCAGCCGCGGUAAUACGUAGGUGGCAAGCGUUGUCCGGAAUUAUUGGGCGUAAAGCGCGCGCAGGCGGUCUUUUAAGUCUGAUGUGAAAGCCCCCGGCUCAACCGGGGAGGGUCAUUGGAAACUGGAGGACUUGAGUGCAGAAGAGAAGAGCGGAAUUCCACGUGUAGCGGUGAAAUGCGUAGAGAUGUGGAGGAACACCAGUGGCGAAGGCGGCUCUUUGGUCUGUAACUGACGCUGAGGCGCGAAAGCGUGGGGAGCAAACAGGAUUAGAUACCCUGGUAGUCCACGCCGUAAACGAUGAGUGCUAAGUGUUAGAGGGUUUCCGCCCUUUAGUGCUGCAGCAAACGCAUUAAGCACUCCGCCUGGGGAGUACGGCCGCAAGGCUG